GUGCGCUAGGAAGGCUGUGGAACUUGAUCUACUCUCUUGCAUCUUUUAAAGACAGAGCUCUGUGCACCUGACCUUCAAAGGGGCCCAAGGUCUGAGGGGUGCUCUUCAGCAAGCAGGAGGCCCAGUUUGCAAUCAGCUGGUCAGAGCUAUUUGAACCAUGCAUGUACAGACAGCGAGACAGAGAGCAGAGACAUGGAUGAACAGAAUGCUGGUUCACGCCUCAACUCCCACGGAUGAGCACGGGCACCAGGAGAAGCGCCGGAUCGGUUGGGCUAAUAGAAGCGAUCGCAUCUACACACACAUCUGCCCGAAGAACCUGCCUGCCUCUGUCCUACCCC